CCUACGGGUGGCAGCAGUGGGGAAUAUUGCACAAUGGAGGGAACUCUGAUGCAGCGACGCCGCGUGAGUGAAGAAGUAAUUCGUUAUGGAAAGCUCUAUCAGCAGGGAAGAAAGUGACGGUACCUGAAAAAGAAGCUCCGGCUAAAUACGUGCCAGCAGCCGCGGUAAUACGUAUGGAGCAAGCGUUAUCCGGAUUUACUGGGUGUAAAGGGAGAGUAGGGGGCAGAGUAAGUCCGAAGUGAAAACCCAAAGCACAACUACGGGAAUGCUGUAGAAACUGGUCAGCUAGAGUGCAGGAGAGGCAAGUGGAAUGCGUGGUGUAGCAGUGAAAUGCGUAGAUAUUAGGCGGAACACCAGUGGCGAAGGCGGCUUGCUGGACUGUAACUGACACUGAGGCUCGAAAGCGUGGGGAGCAAACAGGAUUAGAUACCCUAGUAGUC
rnacentral:rRNA from 1 species